UGCAAGUCGAACGGCAGCACAGAAGAGCUUGCUCUUUGGGUGGCGAGUGGCGGACGGGUGAGUAAUGUCUGGGAAACUGCCCGAUGGAGGGGGAUAACUACUGGAAACGGUAGCUAAUACCGCAUAACGUCGCAAGACCAAAGUGGGGGACCUUCGGGCCUCACACCAUCGGAUGUGCCCAGAUGGGAUUAGCUAGUAGGUGGGGUAAUGGCUCACCUAGGCGACGAUCCCUAGCUGGUCUGAGAGGAUGACCAGCCACACUGGAACUGAGACACGGUCCAGACUCCUACGGGAGGCAGCAGUGGGGAAUAUUGCACAAUGGGCGCAAGCCUGAUGCAGCCAUGCCGCGUGUAUGAAGAAGGCCUUCGGGUUGUAAAGUACUUUCAGCGGGGAGGAAGGCGGUGAGGUUAAUAACCUCGCCGAUUGACGUUACCCGCAGAAGAAGCACCGGCUAACUCCGUGCCAGCAGCCGCGGUAAUACGGAGGGUGCAAGCGUUAAUCGGAAUUACUGGGCGUAAAGCGCACGCAGGCGGUCUGUUAAGUCAGAUGUGAAAUCCCCGGGCUUAACCUGGGAAUCUGCAUUUGAAACUGGCAGGCUUGAGUCUAGUAGAGGGGAGUAGAAUUCCAGGUGUAGCGAUGAAAUGCGUAGAGAUCUGGAGGAAUACCGGUGGCGAAGGCGGCCACUUGGACGAAGACUGACGCUCAGGUGCGAAAGCGUGGGGAGCAAACAGGAUUAGAUACCCUGGUAGUCCACGCCGUAAACGAUGUCGACUGAGAGGUUGUGCCCUUGAGGCGUGGCUUCCGGAGCUAACGCGUUAAGUCGACCGCCUGGGGAGUACGGCCGCAAGGUUAAACUCAAAUGAAUUGACGGGGGCCCGCACAAGCGGUGGAGCAUGUGGUUUAAUUCGAUGCAACGCGAAGAACCUUACCUGGCCUUGACAUCCAGAGAAUUUAGCAGAGAUGCUUUGGUGCCUUCGGGAACUCUGAGACAGGUGCUGCAUGGCUGUCGUCAGCUCGUGUUGUGAAAUGUUGGGUUAAGUCCCGCAACGAGCGCAACCCUUAUCCUUUGUUGCCAGCGGUUCGGCCGGGAACUCAAAGGAGACUGCCGGUGAUAAACCGGAGGAAGGUGGGGAUGACGUCAAGUCAUCAUGGCCCUUACGGCCAGGGCUACACACGUGCUACAAUGGCGCAUACAAAGAGAAGCGACCUCGCGAGAGCAAGCGGACCUCAUAAAGUGCGUCGUAGUCCGGAUUGGAGUCUGCAACUCGACUCCAUGAAGUCGGAAUCGCUAGUAAU
rnacentral:rRNA from 1 species